ACUGCUUGGAACAGGUCUAGACUGGUUUGAACCGGUCCAAGUCGGUUGAAACAGUUCCAAGCCGGUUGGAACCAGUUUAGGCCAGUAUGAACCGGUCUAGGCAGGUUUGUGCUGAUCCAAGCCGGUUUGAACUGGUCAAGGCAGGUUUGUACCGGUCUAGGCUGGUUUGAACCGGUCCAAGCCAGUUGGAAUUGGUCUAGGCCAGUUUGAACCGGUCUAGGCCAGUUGGUGCCGGUCCAAGCCAGUUUGAACAGGUUCAGGCUGGUUUCUGCCGGUCUGAGACGCUUUGAAGAUGUCUAGGCCAGUUGGAACACCUCUGUGCCACUUGGAAGCAGCCCAGACCUGCUGGGACCCGUUCAUACUGGUUGGAUCCGGUCCAAGCCAGUAGGAACCAGCCCAAAGCAGUUUGAAAAAGUCCAGGCGGAUUCCAAGUUCCCAAGACCAGUUUGAAUUGG